CUACAGUUUAUUCUCAGGGUCCCGGACCCUGCCACCUGUGUAGCUGCAGUUUGCACAUAUGAUCACGCCAACCCUGUAUUCAGUAGAAGACGCUGAAAAUAGCCUCCCAAGUGGCGGUCCAGAAAGCCAGCAGCUGCGAGGGGCAGUUAGGCUGCGUGGAGCUUGGGAUGGAGAAAGGGAUCCAGCCCCUCACAUUGGAGAGUGAUGGACACAGUUUGGGGACUGUCGCUGCGGAGCUUGAAAUACUAAUUAGGGAGAGCAUCUGGCAUCUGUGCGUUACAGAGACAAACCUUUGAGCCGCAGUUGAUGAGGGAAGAAAGGAAACGCACCGUCAGCGGAACGGAGCCCUCGCUCAUGAAGUUCUAAACUGCAGCUGACGUGCGGAUGGCUGAUUUAAAGGGCCACUUGGAUUCCUGCAUUGUCAGCUAUCACUGAUUCAGGGGCCUUCAUGCAUACAUGUGUUCAAAUAUUGAGCACUCUCUGGUUGGUAGAAGAACAGCCCAUGAUGCCCUGGAGACCUCGUACAUGUCUGCAUCUUGCACAUGGUCUCUGUGGGCAAAGCUGGAACCACAGUGAAGCUGAGUCUUGGCAGAAUGACUCAUCCUUCUGCUCAGAGACCCUCUUCCACUUUCGUCUCCAUCUCCCCUGAGAAGCUUUCAUGAGGGAGUUAUUCAUCAUCUCCUGGUUUCUGAUAAGGUGCAGAAGCAACCCACUGAAUGAAGCAGAC